rnacentral:lncRNA from 1 species
AAAGAUUUAUUUAUUAUAUGUAAGUACACUGUAGCUGUCUUCAGACACUCCAGAAGAGGGCAUCAGAUUUCGUUAUGGAUGGUUGUGAGCCACCAUGUGGUUGCUGGGAUUUGAACUCGGGACCUUCAGAAGAGCAGUCGGCGCUCUUAACCACUGAGCCAUCUCGCCAGCCCCCUCUUUCUUUCUUUCUUUCUUUCUUUCUUUCUUUCAUGUAUAUGAGUACACUGUAGCUGUCUUUAGACACACCAGCUCCUAUUACAGGUGGUUGUGAGCCACCAUGUGGUUGCUGAGAAUUGAGCUCAGGACCUCCGGAAGAGCAGUUGGUGCUCUUAACCACCAAGCCAUCUCUCCAGCCCUAAAACAUGUAUAUUUAUUUUGUAUGUACUUGUGUGUAUGGGUACAUAUAUGUCCAUGUAGAGGUCAGAGCAUAGCUUUUUAUUUUUUUCUCCAGCGUGAUGUAUCUAUGCAGGCCUGGCUGUCCUGGAACUCUUUGUAGAUCAGGCUGGCCUUGAACUCACAGAGUUUUUCCUGCCUCUGCCUCCCAAAUGCUGGGAUUAAAGACAGGUGCCACAUGCAUUGCCAGAGAACAACUUUUGAGGGUCUGUUUUCCCCUUCUAUCAUGUGGGUGGGUCCAGGGAUGGAAGAGCUCUCGUCACUUGGCUUGAGAGCAAGUGGCUUUACCUGCUGAGCCAUUUUGAGGGACACAGUUGGUUCAUUUUCUAACACUAAGCCUAGUUGAAAGAACUUUUGGAGGUACUGUCCUGAUCUCUUUGCCCUCAGGCAGGGCUUCUCUGGUGCAAGGUCCCUAACUCAGCCUCUUUCAGACUUUCUCCAUCACAUAAGCAGAUGCUGCAGUGAUGACCCUGAUGAGUGUGUGCCUGAUGAGUGUGUGCCUGAUAAGUGUGAAAGCGUGUGGCUUCACCUGAGUGUGUGGACUGGGCAGGGGUUCAGACUCUACAGCAGAGCCUCCCUGGAGUGUGUGCCUGCUCCAUUACAUGCUUCCGCCUUCAGUCUGGACCUGGGUUCCUCUGCUGCCUGCUAGUUGGAACCCACAGGACAAACACAGUCCCUGGGGCAGUUGCCAGUCAAGCGGCAGACAUAGACAGUCAAUGUUUGCUGAACAAGCUGAACCCAUUCUCUUGAGGGCCAGCACGGGUUGCAUAAUAGAAACAAGCUGUCUGGCUCCCUUUGCCAUCCCUUAGACCUUUGAUGAGGCUGAAUAAAGAAGUUGGGAAAUAGAGUGAUGUACAAGGGACAUUUCCUGGAGCCUGGCAGUGUAUGUAAUUCGGAAUUUUUGUUUUUGUUUUGUGGUGCUGGGGAUUGAAUGGAGGACCUUGCCUAUCACAAAACUAAUAUCCCCAGCUCCUUCUUAGCUUUUAUUUAUUUAUUUAUUUAUUGGUUGGUUGGUUGAUGGGAGAUGGGGGUCUCACUAUGCAGCCCUGGUUGACCUGGAACGUACAUAUAGACCAAGCUGGUCUUGAACUCACAGAGAUCUGAAAAGGUUUGCAGUAUCACACUCAGAACCUUCUCAGUCCCUUCUUGUUUUAAAGUAACUUUUAUUUUAAUGGUGUAUAUAAUGUGAGAUAAUUGUAUAACGUGAAGGAGAACACUGAUGAUCGUCUUUGUUAAUGAGCCAUAACGAGUCUUCUUUGAGGAGUUGUGUAAAUCAUAUUGGCUUGUGGACACAUCUGUGAGGUACUUCCUUCACCCAGGCAACUGUGUGUGUGUGUGUGUUUUGGGGGGGGUACCAUUUCUCAGGCUGGGAACCCUGGACUGUAUAAGAGAUAGAUAGAUAGAGGGCUAGCUGGGUAGUGAGCAUGCAGGUAGAAGUGUGCAUUUAUUUCUGCCUACUCUUUUCUUUUUUUAAACUUAAUUGUAUGUGUAUGGGUGCUUUGCCUGCACGUAUGUAUGUGUAGCAUAUGCAGACAGUGCCUGAGGAGGCCAAAGGAGGGACCUGGAUCUCUUGGGUCUAUAGUUACAGUCUAUUUGGGUGCUGGGAAUCUAACCCUAGUCUCCUGGAAGAUCAGCUGGUAGUUUUAACAAUGGAGCCAACUCUCCAGACCCCUGUAUAUGUCAGCUCCUGCCUGUGAAUGUAACAUGAUUAGAUUCAUCAGAUCCUACCCCCCAAAUGAUGGACUACAAACUGGAAUUGUAAGACAAAUAAAGUUGGUUGGUUUUUGUGGGGUUAUUUGUCACAACAAAGGUGAGUUAGGACUGCUAGGGCCAUGGCUUAGUGAAUGAGCCUACUGUGCAAACUUGGGGACUGAAUUCACAUCCCCAGCACCACCCAUAAGCCAGACGCAGUGACAGGCAGGUUGAUUCUGGUGACUUGCUGUCCAUCCAGUGUACCUGAGACAUGGAGUUCCGACCUCUGUUAGAGUCUGUCUCAGGAAGUAAGGUGGAGAGCGAUAGGGGGAGACCCUGCACAUUGCCUUCUACAAGAGCACUCAUGAGCACAGAUCAUGCUAAAGAUUAGAGAUGUAUAAACACAGAUUCCGAAUCACCUAAGAUUCAUUCCAACACCACAGAAAUAUUUUGAAGUCUCUUCCAGUCUUUUUAAAAAGUGCACAGUGGGUGGAAAAAUGCCAAGGAUUUGCCCAGGUUCAGUUCCCAUAACCCACAUCACCUGUAAUUCCAAGUUUCUGGGAAUUUAAAACUCUAGAUUCUUUGGAUACUUAGAUGUUAUGGGUACCAUGAACACAUGUGCCCUCCACCCCCAACCCAGGUAGAUCUCUGAGUUUGAGGCCAGCCUGGUCUACAGAGCUAGUUCAAGGCCAGCAAGGCUACACAAAGAAACCCUGUAUUGAAAACC